AUUGAAGUUGCUGGGUUAUAUGGUAGCUCUAUGUUUAACUUUUUGAGGAACUGCCAAAGUGUUUUCCACAGUGAUUGUACCAUUUUGCAUUCCCACCAGCAAU
rnacentral:pre_miRNA from 1 species